rnacentral:lncRNA from 1 species
GUUAGGCCUACAUAUAAUGAACUGAUGUUAUCUAUAUUUUAUUUUUACUUUAUCAUUUAUCCUCUUAUUUUUAUCUUUUUUUCAGUUAUUAUGCUAAUAUGAAUGAUGCAAAAAUUUUGAGCGUUGAAAAAAUUAUUGAAAUACACCAUUUUAUGUUAAAUGAGUUAUAUAAAAUUGACCCGGAAUUUAAAAAAAUUCCGAAUAGAAAUGAAUUAGAUCCAAAACUUAUUGCACUAGUCGUCCAAUCUAUAGUUAGUGCUAAAGUUGCUGAAGGAUUUAAUUUAACAUCAGAAGACGUUGAAGCAUCUAUUGCGCAUCAACAUUAUGCAUUGGCAUCGGAUAUGGAGUUUUCUAAAAUUAACAUACAAAUGCAAACAAUUAUGAACAAGUUUAUGGAGUAAUAAUUAAUAUAUGAAAAAAAUAAAAUAAUGCACCAAAUAUUUUUAACCA